ACAAGACUUGUCAACAUCUUGAUUAUUCUUCUUUUGAAGGAUAUAAAAACCUCAAAAGCUGUUCUACUUAAAAUUUUUUGAAGGUCGGUUUCGAAAUCAGCGCUUAAUUGUGCUUCAAAAAUUUUGGUCGUUAACAGAAGUUCACGACUUUCGUUUUAUUUUGUAAACUAGUGUAAUGAGUUUGUGAGUUGAAUGAGCCAAAAAAAAUAAAAUGGGUGAAAAUUUACGGAGAUAUGAUCAUUUUAGUUUCGUGGAUACCCGGGUACCCUGCCGGCAUUCUAUGGUUAAACAAACUUACUCACUGCCUUCAAUUACGUUUCGUUCCGUUAAUCUGCUCGAUUGAGUAAGCAUCCUUUCGGCCUUCCCUAAGGUUCUGUUAGCCUGCGAAAGAGUAUAAAUUGCGUUUUUCGAAGCAUCGACAAUAUCGUCGAGCUUACUCAGCUUAUCAGUGCGGCGUGCGCCGUCCAGCUAAAAGUGUAACGUCACUUCAGUCAUACUCCAGAGGGUGAUCAGCUAUCACAGGUUGGAUGCCGGCGCACGGAUGAUCAAACUUCCUGCAAUGGACCGGGAAGUACAUAGUGAUACAGAUGAAGCGGUCGCCGAGGGACGCCAUAAGGCGCUAGUCCAAGAGGUUCUGGGCGAAGAAAAUCAAAAUAUCAAUGCAUUAAAUGCUUCAAUCAGCCGGCGGGAAAGCCCAGUAGGUAGGGGGUUCAGGGGCAAGAUGGCCACCCUAAGCUUAGGCGCCUUGGGAGCAUACACUUUCAUUAGAAUAUGGCUGUUUAACAUUGACCCCCUUUGUUUCAUGUCUUUUCUAUCUUAUUAACACAAAAAAGCAUUUUAUUUUGCACUACGAAUCCAAAAUAAAUUCAUUUGAAAAAUGUUAUUUUCGACAUAGAAUUUUUGCCAUAUGGGGCAAGAUGGCCACCCCAUCGGGGCAAGACGGCCACAGAGCUAAAUUUUCACAAUUAGUGUGCUUUAAUCCCUAAUCAACGUUCAAUAAACCAAGGUCGAAUCAUCCGCAACGCUUUGCCUACAGAUGGUGUGGUAUUUGCCAACAUUUUCUUUAUGAUAAUGUUUGAAAUAAAAUUGAUAGAAAUUUCUUUGGAAAUGUUCUAUGAUUUGGUAUAUUUUUUUCAGAAAACUUGUUUCUCUCGAAACGAUUUAUCUGCAGAUACAUUACUACUCUUUUCACACAUUAUACUGUAAUUCAACGUCUUGUAACGAACCCUCUUAUGGCGGUUUUAGCUACGAUUUUCCAUCUCUGUACCAAAAUAUUCAAUGAAACCAAUCACGUUCAAGAGCAAAUAACUUCAAAGUUUUUCUGAGGUAUCAUCUACAUCGUAGUUAAUUUUAACAGCCGCAACUAAUAUGAAAAAGCAAUUUUCUGUGGUUUUGCAGUAUCUUUAAGCAUCAAUAACAGUUUUGAGGCUGCUUUAGAUUGAUUUUUGGAUGGCGACAUAGGCCUUACCACAGGUGGCCAUCUUGCCCCGAAUGAUUACGAUACGUUUAUCAUUUCUUAUAUGGCAUAAUCAAUUCAAAACUUUGAAAUUUUAUUGUUCAGGAUCAACAACAGUCACAUAUAGACAUCACUGAAAAUUAAAAAUAAUUUUUAAAACCAUGUUAUUUCAUUACUAAUCCUUAAAAUCAGAUGACCUGAUACUAUAAGAAAACACUGUUUUUGAACACUCAAACUUCAAACACUAUUUUAUGGUAGAUUUUUCAAACAAAUAGUAACUUUUUCGCACAUUAUAAACAUGACGCAUUGUUUAUAAUCACAACCCAUGCAGAAAAUAUUUUUGUGUUGCGAAUUUAUGCUUAAAACACAGGGUGGCCAUCUUGCCCCACAACCCCCUAUCCAGAUAACCGCGGUUACGGACUCAAUACACUCAAAAUAAUCCAAACGUCAUUGCCACGUGAAGAAUCACGUAAAUCGCUAGGAAUGAACUUUUUCUUAAAUUCACCUGAUAAAGGUAACAGUUACCGGCCGCUAAAUAAGAAUGAACUGCAGCUCCGAUCAUUUUUACUGUGGUUGACCUAUCUCACCUACGUGAAAAUCGCGUGCAUGCUUCAAUUCAUUCUGAUCGACUUCAUUCCAUGGUUCAUUCUGUGUUGUGAUAAAGUUUAAAGAUGGCUGCCAUUCAAAACAGACUUUAGUGGAGCGAUGUUUUACAAAACUUAUUUGAUAAUUUGGAAGGUAGGUUGGAUAUUUUUUCUGUUUAAUCUAUUCUUUAUAAUCCUCUUCCUUCACAGAGCAUGACUUUUUACAAAUACUUAAUCGCAAAAUGGGUAUGUGAGUUCAAAAUGUCACGAAGAAAUAACCGGCUGAUCUUGUGGAGAAAAAUCUAUCAUGAACAUUUUUUUGUUCGUUUAGAACUAAAGAGACUAUCGCUGACGACUACCUCGAUGAAGGCUUUUGUCUCCUCCUGUUGCCAUUUGCGAUCCUGCUUCCUCCUGCAGCGAUGGAACUACGCCGUAAAUCAAGAGCGUUCAUGAGCGCAUAACUAUUCGACUAUAUAUUUCGACCAUAUUAAUAACUUUCCUUUAGUUCAGCAAUAAAAGUCUUGUUAAUUUUA